rnacentral:rRNA from 1 species
CCUACGGGAGGCAGCAGUGGGGAAUUUUGGACAAUGGGGGCAACCCUGAUCCAGCCAUGCCGCGUGAGUGAAGAAGGCCUUCGGGUUGUAAAGCUCUUUCAGCCGGAACGAAACGGUUACGGUUAAUAACUGUGAUCACUGACG